GUGUUUGCUCUGUCUUGUCUAUGUGCAAGCUCACACUCCCACUUCCUCUAGAAAGUAAGCCCAAGUUUGACCACAUCCCAUCGUCUUCCCCUGUCUUCACUGAUAAACACAAGCACACACACACACACGCACAGGUAAACAGACACACUCAAUAAAUACAAGCACACACACAUACACUCCCUCUCUCCAUCCAGCCUAAGGGAAGGAGGCAGCCAAGCCAUGGAUCCAUGAAUUCCUCAUAACGCAAUCUGUCGGCUGAUCAAUAAUUCAAUUCUGUCUGUGAGCAAGCAUGUCUGGAUCCAAUCUCACCUGCACCUCCCCUCGGCCUCCCCUUAACAAGGUGGGCGUUCUGUCCUUGAGCCGAGUUGGGCUUAGCUGUGUGUGUGUGUGUGUGUGUGUGUCCACUGGUCAGUGUAUAGGUAGCCUAGCCAGUAACAAAAAGGUUGCUGGUUCAAAUCCCUGAGCCGACUAGGUGAAAAUUGUCGACGUGCCCUUGAGCAAGACACUUAACUCUAAUUGCUCCUGUAAGUCGCUCUGGAUAAGAGCAUCUGACUAAAAUGUAAAAUGUGUGUCAGUGUCCAUGGCUGUGUGUGUAUGAAUGGGUGUCCACGUUUGUGUGUCCACGGGUGAUUAUGUGUGUUUUUAAAUUCCACAGCAGAGUUUGUGUGUGAUGUGUGUGUGUGUGUGUGUGUACCCGUGGCCGGGGAGUUUUGUGUGUCCGUCCGAGUGGUUGGCAGAGUUUGUGUCUGUCGUGCGAGAGUUGUGUCUGUGUCCGCGGCAGAAUUUGUGUCUGUCCGUCGCGGCAGAGUUUGUGUCUGUCCGUCCGCGGCAGAGUUUGUGUGUGUCCGUCCGCGGCAGAGUUUGUGUCUGUCCGUCCGCGGCAGAGUUUGUGUCUGUCCGUCCGCGGCAGAGUUUUGUCGUCGUCGCGGCGUGGAGAGUUUGUGUCGUCCGUCGCCGGCAGAGUUUGUGUGUGUCCGUCCGCGGCAGAGUUUGUGUGUGUUUCCGCGGCAGAGUUUGUGUGUGUCCGUCCGCAGGCAGAGUUUGUGUGUGUGUCUGUCCGUGGGGCAGAGUUUGUGUGGGUUGU
rnacentral:lncRNA from 1 species